UGAACAUAUAUAUUUACUUUAAUGUAAUACUUCCUUUGGAUUUGGAGUGGAACUCAACUGCAGAAUUAUAAUUAGAAGAACCCUUAGGUUUUAAUAGAAUAAUUAGGAGAGAUAGAAUAAUUCUUAAAUAAGGUUUAUUUAAUAGUGGAUUGAUGAGAAUAGUCCCAGUAAUGUGAAGAACACAAAAUGAAGAUAAUUUGAGUUCAAUGAGAAGGGUUCCUGUAGUCUUAAGAAACACGAUAUGUAGAAAGUUUGAAGAGAAUAGUUCCAGUAGCUUUAAGGGAACAAUAUGAAGAUAGUUUGAUGAGAAUAGUUCAUGUAGCUUUAAGGAAUACAAUAUAGAUGUAGUUUGAUGAGAAGAGUUCUUGUAGCUUUAAGGAAUGAGACAUGCAGAUAUAGGAAUGUGAUGAGUUCCUGUAACUUUAAGGAAUACAAUAUAGAUGUAGUUUGAUGAGAAGGGUUCCUGUAGCUUUAAGGAAUGAGACAUGUAGAUGUAGGAAUGUGGUGAGUUCCUGUAGCCUUAAGGAAUACAAUAUAGAUGUAGUUUGAUGAGAAGAGUUCUUGUAGCUUUAAGGAACGAGACAUGCAGAUGUAGGAAUGCGAUGAGUUCCUGUAGCUUUAAGGAACACAAUAUGGAGAUAGUUUGAUGGGAAAGUUCCUGUAGCUUUAAGGAACACAAUAUGGAGAUAGUUUGAUGGGAAAGUUCCUGUAGCUUUAAGGAACACAAUAUGGAGAUAGUUUGAUGAGAGAGUUCAUGUAGCUUUAAGGAACACAAUAUGAAGAUAGUUUGAUGAGAGCAUUCCUGUAGCUUUAAGGAACACGAAUAUACAUUUUGUGACUUAUUUUUAUAAGGAAAGUUCAUGUACUAAAUACAAUUAUAACUUCCAAUUAAUCUCAG